rnacentral:misc_RNA from 1 species
GAAAUGCGAUAAGUAAUGUGAAUUGCAGAAUUCCGUGAAUCAUCGAAUCUUUGAACGCACAUUGCGCCCUCUGGCAUUCCGGGGGGCAUGCCUGUCCGAGCGUCAUUGCAAACCCUCAAGCACGGCUUGUGUGUUGGGUCACCACGUCCCCGAUAUUCAGGGGACGGGCCCGAAAGGCAGUGGCGGCGUCGCGGUUAUCCGAUGAGCCCGAGCGUAUGGGGACUUCUGUCACACGUUCGCGGUGCGGACCGGCGCCUGCUUGACUUUUCUGAUUAUCCAGGUUGACCUCGGAUCAGGUAGGGAUACCCGCUGAACUUAAGC